UCAUUCUUCUAGAGAGAAACGACACACCCUCCUUCUAUUCAAAAAUCUCUUCCGCUGCCACAUCUCUCUCUUUCUCUCCUUCAGACCGACGCCAUCACCAAGCUCGACUCGUCGAACGACGUUUGCACGCCGACGGAACCUAGCCAACACCUUGCGUCUCUCUUUUGUGCGUCGGCCACGAUGCACUCCAAUCGCGACGUGACUUGCCGACGCCAAAUCAGCCGCCGUCACACCAUCCAACUCCCCGAACGAAAACUACCCCACGUCGAACCCUGCACAGGUCACGCAAAAUUGAAGUUCUUGGGUCGAUCUAAGUUUUCGGAUUUGGAGUAUUGGGAGGUUUUGCGCCGUUGUCUAGCCCUUUGAAAACUUGAAAUUGGUCGUUUUGGCAUAACUUAGGUAGCGAUCAAGGGCCAAGCGUUGAUUAAAUACUCGUCAUCGAUUGUAGUCCUCUACUAUUCUUUUGUAUGUAUAUAGUUAAUUUUUUUGUAAUACAUCAGGGAGUGGUUAGAUUGUAGCGAGAGUAAAGUUAAGAACUCGUAAUUUGGUGAGAUCCCUCUUUUUGAAUUAUUUUUGUUCGACAUAUCUUAUUAGAGUAUGGUUGUUUGUCUGAAACUCUGGAACUAUGGAACUAUCUGGAUAAGUGUGUGGUGAGACGCACUUGACGC